AUGCUCACUUGGUAGCACAUAAACUAAAAUUGGAAUGAUACAGAGAAGAUUAGGAUGGCCUCUGUGCAAGGAUGACACGCAGAUUUGUGGGGGGAAAAUUAAAUUA
ensembl:snRNA U6 U6 spliceosomal RNA